UGGCGGACGGGGGAGUAAUGUCUGGGAAACUGCCCGAUGGAGGGGGGUAACUACUGGAAACGGUAGCUAAUACCGCAUAAUGUCUACGGACCAAAGCGGGGGACCUCCGGGCCUCGCGCCAUCAGAUGAACCCAUAUGGGAUUAGCUAGUAGGUGGGGUAACGGCUUACCUAGGCGACGAUCCCUAGCUGGUCUGAGAGGAUGAUCAGCCACACUGGGACUGAGACACGGCCCAG
rnacentral:rRNA from 1 species